UACGUAGGGGGCAAGCGUUGUCCGGAUUUAUUGGGCGUAAAGCGCGUGUAGGCGGCAAGGUAUGUCGUGCGUGAAAUCUCCCGGCUCAACUGGGAGUGGCCGUGCGAAACUGCCUCGCUUGAGGUCGGAAGGGGAAAGUGGAAUUCCGGGUGUAGUGGUGGAAUACGUAGAUAUCCGGAGGAACACCAGCGGCGAAGGCGCUUCUGGUCCGAUUCUGACGCUGAGACGCGAAAGCGUGGGGAGCGAUCCGG
rnacentral:rRNA from 1 species